rnacentral:lncRNA from 1 species
GUCAAUGCGAAAUCAUAUUCCAUUCGUACCACUUAGCAUCAACCGAAAACUUCUGGCCAGUGGUGGUGGUAUUCGACCUGUUCCUGGCAAACAGCAAGCAUCGGUCAAAAUGAAUUCAUUUGACAGCAAGGUUGACAGACUAGAGCAGUUCAUGUUGAUGAAAGGCUUGUACGAUUGUGUGAAAGUCAUCAAGAAACCCACUAGAAAGCCUGUCAAGGAUUCUGACAGCGAUAGCAACAAUUAAAACACUGAUGUUCAGUUGCUUGUGGCCACUAAAAAAAAUGAGGCAUUAAAAGAAAGUGGGUGUCAGAUC